UUUUUUCCCGUGCUGAUUGAAGAAGUCCGUUAUAUAUUUCUUGAAGCUCUUCGUCGGAGUUGCACAAGGUUUGUGUCCCUUCGAUUUUACAGAUUACAUAAUUUUUUUAUUUUGCUUUUUUGGGAAAAAAAAUCUAACUCCGCUCCAACUUUUUUGUAUUGUACAAAUGUUGAAAGGAGUUGUUGCAUACGAAUUGUCGACUGGUGGAUGGGGCUUGCUCAAUCGGAUAGCUUAUGACUCGGCUUAGAUGACAAGCUUGAACGCCUUCUUCCUAAAAUAUGUUUGCAUUAUCAGGUUAGUUAAUACAUGUUAUGAUGUGCGUCCAUAUUAUUACUUGUUCACCCAUCAAUUUUGUGCAUGUUUCUGGCAUUUAUAUGCUAAUUUAUGGCAGAGAUCCUCCGCUUUGAUGUUUUUAGUAAAAAGAGUAAUUGAAAAAUAAGUAUGUUUAAGAAUGCUUCAAGAGAGAGUAAUUUACAUUUUGUCUUGAAUGUUGUUUACUUUCUAAUUCUCUUCUUGCUUUAUUUAGUUUAUGUUUGAGGUUUUCAUAUGUAGAGAAGAUGGUGGU
rnacentral:lncRNA from 1 species